rnacentral:rRNA from 1 species
CACGUAGGGGGCAAGCGUUGUCCGGAUUUAUUGGGCGUAAAGAGCUCGUAGGCGGUUUCGUUAGUCGGGUGUGAAAACCCCAGGCUCAACCUGGGGACGCCACCCGAUACUGCGAUGACUAGAGUCCGGUAGGGGAGUGUGGAAUUCCUGGUGUAGCGGUGAAAUGCGCAGAUAUCAGGAGGAACACCAACGGCGAAGGCAGCACUCUGGGCCGGAACUGACGCUGAGGAGCGAAAGCGUGGGGAGCGAACAGG